AAAGAUUAAGCCAUGCAUGUCUAAGUAUAAGCAACUAUACAGUGAAACUGCGAAUGGCUCAUUAAAUCAGUUAUCGUUUAUUUGAUAGUACCUUACUACUUGGAUAACCGUGGUAAUUCUAGAGCUAAUACAUGCUAAAAAUCCCGACCUCCGGAAGGGAUGUAUUUAUUAGAUAAAAAACCAAUGCCCUCGGGCUCCUUGGUGAUUCAUGAUAACUUAACGAAUCGCAUGGCCUUGCGCCGGCGAUGGUUCAUUCAAAUUUCUGCCCUAUCAACUUUCGAUGGUAGGAUAGUGGCCUACCAUGGUUUCUACGGGUAACGGGGAAUUAGGGUUCGAUUCCGGAGAGGGAGCCUGAGAAACGGCUACCACAUCCAAGGAAGGCAGCAGGCGCGCAAAUUACCCAAUCCCGAUUCGGGGAGGUAGUGACAAUAAAUACUGAUACAGGGCUCUUUUGGGUCUUGUAAUUGGAAUGAGUACAAUUUAAAUCCCUUAACGAGGAACAAUUGGAGG
rnacentral:rRNA from 1 species